rnacentral:tRNA from 1 species
GCAUCAGAGGUUAAGUGGCAGAAUAGUACCCUGCCACAGAAUAAACCCAGGUUCGAUUCCUAGCAGGUGCA